AGGGAAUCUUCCACAAUGGACGCAAGUCUGAUGGAGCAACGCCGCGUGAGUGAAGAAGGCUUUCGGGUCGUAAAACUCUGUUAUUGAAGAAGAACGUGUGUGACAGUAACUGGUCAUGCAGUGACGGUAUUCAAUCAGAAAGUCACGGCUAACUACGUGCCAGCAGCCGGCGGUAAUACGUAGGUGGCAAGCGUUGUCCGGAUUUAUUGGGCGUAAAGCGAGUGCAGGCGGUCUUUUAAGUCUGAUGUGAAAGCCUUCGGCUUAACCGAAGAAGGGCAUCGGAAACUGGGAGACUUGAGUGCAGAAGAGGAGAGUGGAACUCCAUGUGUAGCGGUGAAAUGCGUAGAUAUAUGGAAGAACACCAGUGGCGAAGGCGGCUCUCUGGUCUGUAACUGACGCUGAGGCUCGAAAGCGUGGGUAGCA
rnacentral:rRNA from 1 species